CAGAAAACGCACCCUGUAGGUGAUGACAAAUAUCUGCCCAGGAAUGCUGACUGGAAUUUCACCUUAAUGGAGUAACACAGAGUUUAGAGAAACAAGGAUCACAGAAGAUGAACCAAAAUACAGAGAUCGAGGCUGUUCAUAUCAUGAAGAGGAGCUGUUGGCUAUGGGAGCAUUAAGGCAAACAUGACACCAUGGCAAAUGAAAGCCUCAGCUGACUACCUUAAUAUAACAAAGAUCGACUUCCCCUGAGCAGGAAGGAAUUCUGUCGGCACACGGCAUCUGCACUCAAACUGCAACUCUUCCCUUUGUCCUCCAGUCUGUCGUCCUGCUCUGAAGAUUUUGGAUUUACCAAGCCUCCAUAAUCAUGUGAGCCAAUUCCUCACAGUAUAUAUGCACUCUCCACAUAGAUGUAGGUAUCUGCAUCUAUGAUACAGAUGCAUCCUGUUUGUUGUAUUUCUCUGGGCAGCCCUGCCCAGUACAGGUAGGAAUAAUAUCAUAGGUUCUAUAAUCAGCAAUAUGGGCUCAGGGCGUGGCUCUGCCCUUUGCUGUGUAGGUUGGAAAAGCUACUUUAUCUUUCUAAACCUCGGCUUCCUUAUCUUUUAAAAUGGCUAUAACAAUCCUCCAGUCGUGACAGAUUGCAUGCUAUCUAAUCUAGUAUUUCUAUUUCUAGAAAUAAAUUUGUUCCUUCUAGUCAUAAAUUUGUUCUUUUUUACCUAAACUUUACUUUUCCUUUCAGACCUGUGGUGGUUUUAAAAAUAUGUUCACAAUUUUGUUAAUAGUCAUCCUUUCAAGUUAAAUUGCCCUUCCUUCAAUAUAGGCUAGACUUAGUGAAUUGCUUGUAAUGAAUAGAACAUGGCAAAUGUGAGAGUACAUCAUUUCUCAUUCUCUCUCUUUCAUCACUUGUUAUGAGGAAGCCAACUGCCUGGUCACAAGCAUCUCUAUGGAGAGUCCCCGAAGCAAGGAACUGAAGCCCCCUGCCUGCAGACGCAUGACUGAACCUGGAAGCAGAGUCUUCAAUCUUCCUGACUUCAGUUCCAGCCAACAACUUCACUGUAACCUCAUGAGAGAUCUGAACAAGAACAAUGCAGCUGAGAUACAAUUCUUGAGCCUCAGAAAUUAGAUUAAUGAAAACAAAUAUUUUGAAAGCUGUAAGAAGGAUCGUGAAGUGUUGGCAGAUGCUAAAGAUAAG